rnacentral:rRNA from 1 species
CCCUUAGAUGUUCUGGGCCGCACACGCGCUACACUGAAGGAGGCAGCGUGUACUCCUGGAUCGAAAGAUUUGGGUAACCCGCGAAUCUCCUUCGUGCCAGGGAUUGAGGUUUGCAAUUAUCCUUCAUGAACGAGGAAUUCCCAGUAAGUGCAAGUCAUAAGCUUGCGCUGACUACGUCCCUGCCCUUUGUACACACCGCCCGUCGCUACUACCGAUUGAAUGAUUUAGUGAGGACUUCGGACUGGGACCGAUGCGGCUUUCGGGCUGCGUCGGUAUUCUGGAAAGAUGUCCAAACUGUAUCAUUUAGAGGAAGUAAAAGUCGUAACA